ACAGACAGAAAGAAUUUACUUUCAGGUUUUCUUACCUAAAGGGAGCAAAGAGAAGAGCAAACCAAUGUUCUUUUGCCACCGAUGGAGCAUUGGAAAGGCCAUAGACUUUGCCGCUUCUCUAGCCAGGCUUAAAAAUGACAAUAACAAAUUUACAGCUAAGUAUGACUUACUUCUCCCUUCACAGAAAUUAAGGCUGUGUCACAUUACUUCAGGAGAAGCCUUACCCUUGGAUCAUACUUUGGAAACCUGGAUUGCUAAGGAGGAUUGUCCUUUAUAUAAUGGUGGAAAUAUAAUCUUGGAAUAUCUUAAUGAUGAAGAACAAUUCUGUAAAAAUGUUGAAUCUUACUUGGAAUAGUCAUUCAAAGAUUCAAGUCAGAAAUCACAGGGAAAAUUCUAUUACAUGUUUAAGUCCAUUUAUUUUACUACAAAUACUAUUUUUGUAAUUUUUAAAAGUUGCUUUUUAACUUAUUUCCCCUUAUGUCACAUUUUAAAUUAUGAGUUUUCUAUUAGAGUUUUUUGGUUUUAAGUUUAAUUGUGUACGGAUCCUCAAUUAUUAGCAAAUUCUUAUAUUUAAUUAGCUUUCAUUAGUUUAUGCUGUAGUGACAACAACAAAGAUGUAUUUCCUGGUGGGGGAUGUCAGCUGUUGAUUGGCUGUGACACUGCUUUGUGUCAUCUUCUUACCAUGAUCAAAGGCAAAGGAAGGGAUCUCUUUUGGGACAUUGUGAUUGUUUUAGCAGAGAGAGAAAGAGAUGAAAUACACUUCGGUUUUCUCUUAAAAGAUGCAUGUAUCAUACGUGCUUUAAGCAAGUCAUGUGGCCAAGCCUAGCAUCAUGGAGCCAGAAAGUAUAGCCUUGCUGUCUGUCUACAUCAUGAUGUAUAAAUUGAUAUAUC
rnacentral:lncRNA from 10 species